GCUGGCAACAGACUUUGUGUGUAGUAAAAGAAUGGUGGAAAUGAUUCCAAACAUUAAAAAGCUGGGAAUAUGUUACUCCAAGGAGAAGUCUGAUGCGGAUGCUGGCUAUCGCCUCAACAAUCUUAAGUAUCUAUGUCGACUUGAGAAAUUGAAGUUGGAGAUGCCUGAAGGUUCUUUAUCCAGAAAACAAUAUGAUGAAAUGACAUUGGGGAUGCGUGGAGGUUUUUCAUUCAGACUAGUUGAUAAGAUACUUGGAUGGAUUUCAUUUAGACAAGCUGAUAAGAUACUUGGAGGUAUAAACUUUCCUCUACAACUGAGAAGGUUAACCUUGAGUGGUUGGAAGCUUCCUUCGAGUGAUAUGUCAAUCGUUGGUUCAUUACCUAAUCUUCAAGUGCUUAAACUAAGAAAUUUCAAAAGGAUAGACUGGGUAACAUCUAAUGGAGAAUUUCGUGAGCUCAGACUUCUGCUAACUGAUCAAUCCGAUUUGGUUUUUUGGAUAAGAAAAGCUAGCCACUUCCUGAGACUCGAGUGCCUAAUGCUUCAUGGGUGUCUUGGUCUACCUGAGAUUCCAAGUAAUAUUUUAUUAUCGGCAGAAAAGAUACAAAAGAAACAAUGGGAUUCAGGAAAGUGUACCUUUCUAGUUCGUGUGAAGCGUUCAUGAUAUAUAUGCUGCUCUUUCAAAUCCAGAGCGGUUUUCAAGUAUCUGCAAUCGGCAUUUACUAAAGAGGCAGAGUGCGGAAGGAAUGCUCUCUCGUUGGAUAACCUCUUAAUUGGCAAAUCACGCAAGGGAGCAUCGAGGAUGUUUUCUGAAACACUGGUCCUGAAAACAAGAGACUGCAUCCGUGUGGAAGAGCGGAUUCCAUUUGGCGAUAUUAACAUAAGACCACGAAAAAGGCUGAUGAAAUCCGAGUUCUAAACCACAUCUGUGCGUGCUGGAAAGUUUCAGA